CGGGAUGUAGCGCAGUUUGGUAGCGCGUCUGCUUUGGGAGCAUGAUGUCGCAGGUUCGAAUCCUGUCAUCCCGA
rnacentral:tRNA from 1 species